GGCGCGGCUCCCCUCCUGUUCAUCCACCCUAAGCAUUGCUGAGGCCUCACGGAGAGAGUUCAGGGCUCACCUGGAUGAGGUCAUCACGCUCAAGUCAAGGUACUCUACCUUGGACCAGCUCCAGUGUAGGUUGGAGGGGCUUAAAGAUGAUCGCAGGAGCCAUAGGACCUUCAGCUCUCGAGU